rnacentral:misc_RNA from 1 species
CAUUAAAUGUUUACAAACUUUUUAAAUAAAACAAAAACAAAUCAAUACUACGAUACAGCUGUAUAACACCGAAAUUGAACAUAUGUGUCCCAAAGAUAAUUAAUAUAGUUAUAUGUGUCCUUUAUGAAAGCCACACAAGGAACAUAGUAAAUAAACUAUGAACUUUUUGAACCUGCCUGUGAAAUGUUUAUAUAAAAGCUAAAUUUAUAUUUUUGUUAUGCAUUAGAAAUAUCAAAUGUGUAUAAAAUUUUCUAAUAAAUGUUUCAGUUUGUUUAGUGAUAUUUCAAUCUAGUGUUUAAAAAUAUACAUUUGAUUAGAUAUAACGAAUGUUAUAAGACUUUUAUUCAUGUGAGUUUUAUUUGAUCCAAUGCUCUAAUUAUGACCAAAAAUCAAUUUCUCUGGCCCUGUGUGCAUGGUCGACUCGCUACAUCACCAGCAUUGACCACUAUUGAACGCUACCCAACCUUGCUGCCUCAUAAUUCAAAGCUAUCUCAGCAUUUAGUUGAAUUUAUACUGAAAAUUACUCUUCAUGGAGAAAAUCAACUAAUGACUCGAGUCCUACGCAUAGAUUAUUUGAUAUUCAGAUUGAAACCAUUGGUCAAAAGCGUAAUUCACAACUGUAAAACUUGUGUUUUGUACAAAAACAGACACAGAAUCAAAUCAUGGCUUCAUUACCAGCAGAACGCACAACUCUAUCCAGGCCCUUUGCAAGGAGAGGAAUAGAUUACGCAAGACCUUUUAACAUCAAAAAUUACACAGGUCGAGCGUGUCUUAUCACAAAAGGAUACAUUUAAAGGUCUCAUUUCUCAUUUGCCAAUAGUGAAAGUCCGAGCACCUAGCUGAACUCCAUCGCAGAUACAAAUGGAAGAAUCAGAGGGACAAUGUUAAAGUCAACGAUCUUGUUGUCAUCAAAACAACGGCUUGCCGCCCAACGAAUGUCAAAUGUCGACAUCAAGACAAAAAGUGGAGUCAUUACCAGGCCAAUUACAAAAAUUGUUGUUUUGUUUGCAAAUUAAUAUACCCCCAAGUUAUUUACAUAUAUUAAUAUUGUUCUAAUAUUUAUAC